AAUGUGAAGCAUUUUAUUUGGGUUUUUUUGGGGGGUGGGUGGGUGAGUAACCCUCAGUAUUUUUUUCAUGUAACUAAAAAAAUGAAUAUGCAUCCAAAAAUUUGGCAGUACAUGUUACCUAUGGAGGCGAAUGAAAUUUAGUUUUAAUCUGUGGUGGGCUGAAUGCACUAUGAAUAUAUUCAAAAUAAGCUGCUGUGCUUCUCAGGUGGUUUCUUCCUGUUAAGCAUGAUUUUGCCUACAGAAAAAGAAAACACAGUUUACUGGAGGUUUUCAACAUUUCAAGGAAUAAGUUAGAAGUAAAAACCCAAGUUGGAAAUGCUCCUUUAGAAAGGCUGCUCUGAGCAGUGAUACCUGUUGUAAUGGUGAAAAUGCAAUAUGAAAUCCCCUAGGUGCUAUUCUAAAUGGUGAGGUGUCAUUAUACCAAAUGGGAAGCAGUUACUGUGUUUCUGGAGCUGAAGUUCUCUUUGUAGGCCUUUCAAAUAUGCAUUUAUGUUCCCUUUGGUUUUGCUCACCAACUGUGCCUCUCACCACUGGUUAAAAUUGAAUUCAAGCCCCAUUACAAAAGCAGUUUCUUGAUUGAACUCUUAAGUUUUUACAGUGGAAUUUCUAUAGUUGUCUUAAAAGCUGCAUGUCAUAUCACUGUAUAACAAAAUGCUUUGGUGGUGGUCAUGCACCAUUCAUAGUGAUUUGUGUAUGAUUUUCUUUUUUAGUUGUACAGUAAUAUGGAAGGCAGGAUGUCUUUCCUUGAGGCUGGAAACAAAGUGUAUCAUACAUUUUAAAUUAUUUUAGAACAAGUGCAUGAGAUGUGUCACUGACUUCUGUUAUUUAUUUGUAUGUUUUAUUAUUCAAAGUGUAUGCACUUUUAAGAAGC
rnacentral:lncRNA from 1 species